AAGUAGGUGUCCCUGCUACCA
rnacentral:tRNA from 1 species